UUCUCAUCUAGUGAAUGAACAGAAGCAUUGUAUUAAAACGUUUCAGUCAAGUUUAAAAGUGUUGCCAGUCGAAGCCCUUGUGACACACGAAAACUUAUUUAAACGAAAGAAACGCAACGCGAGAUACAAGGAACGUACAUCGUAGUGAUAUUCAAGAGAGGUAGAUAAUAUAAGUCACAGACUCUUGUGUUUGCAAUACCAAUUUGUAUCUGAUUUAUUUUGUCCUGCUACAUUCUAAAAGAAAAGAGCAUUAUCGGGAAACGAGGAAACCAAAAGAAAGAAGGUGCUUUUAGAACUUCCAUGAAACUUGUUCUCUUUUCGUUGUUAUUCGAAGAACGUUGAAGAUAUAUUGACAGUGGUUGAACGAACGUAUUAUUUUCUGCAAGUUAAAUAUGGCUGAACCAAGGGAUAAAAGUGAUGAAAUGAUUAUUUAUAUGGAUAAGGUUGGUGAUAAAGAACGAUUGACAGAACCAUUGACUUAUAAACCUUUAGCACUAAAGACUAUAUCGCGUUCCGGUUCCAUGCUCGAGACAGACAAUACGAACAAUCCACGACCGACGUCCGGCCCAGAAAUCGAUGACCUAGAACCGGCAGGAAGUUUUCCGACAGGAUUUGGUCCUCGGAUAGGAAUUGAUGAUGGUCUCCUGCCAAGUGAACCAGAAAUCCCAAGAACUCCAUUUUUACCAUCGCCAUCUAUGCCGCCUAUUCAGCCGAUACCUGACGUGAAUAUCUAUCAACACAAGAAAACGCUCGCACAAGGAAUGAUGGAUCUGGCUCUUUUGUCUGCUAACGCAAAUCAGUUGCGUUAUGUUUUACAAACUGACGGGGGGCAUCCGUAUUAUUAUCCAUCAUUGGUGCUAAUAGGCAGCAGCCUAAUAUUACAAAUUGCAGUGGGAAUAGGGUUAAUUUGGAAUAGUAGAUACGACGUUAAUGAUAAUGCUCAAAUGUGCAAGGCCAACCGGGCUAAUAAUUGGACAGUGAUCGGUAUAUUUCUAGUAACAAUUUUUAAUGUCUUCAUUUCGUCAUUCGGCGUUGUUGAUCAAGUAUCAGUAAUGCCUAUAGUAUCUAGAAUUGAUAGUGAAAGUGAAAAUUAAUAACGAAUAACUGCGCGUAUCAUUAUUUUAUACCAUAAAUUUAAGAUAUUUAAAUGAUAAAAAGAUGUCUCUUGUCCCAUUACCUGGAGUACUAAUUGUAAGAAACUACAAUUACAAGCCAUUGCCGUGACUGUGACUAAAACUCUACCUGGUACGCAAGGAACAGGUCAAUUGUGUACGAUCAGUCGAACGUAUAAGAUCGCCGAGUAAUCA